rnacentral:rRNA from 1 species
ACUCCUACGGGAGGCAGCAGUGGGGAAUAUUGCACAAUGGGGGAAACCCUGAUGCAGCCAUGCCGCGUGUGUGAAGAAGGCCUUCGGGUUGUAAAGCACUUUCAGUAGGGAGGAAGGUAGUGUAGUUAACACCUGCAUUAUUUGACGUUACCUACAGAAGAAGCACCGGCUAACUCCGUGCCAGCAGCCGCGGUAAUACGGAGGGUGCGAGCGUUAAUCGGAAUUACUGGGCGUAAAGCGCAUGCAGGCGGCCUGUUAAGUCAGAUGUGAAAGCCCGGGGCUUAACCUCGGAAUUGCAUUUGAAACUGGCAGGCUAGAGUCUUGUAGAGGGGUUAGAAUUUCAGGUGUAGCGGUGAAAUGCGUAGAGAUCUGAAGGAAUACCGAGUGGCGAAGGCGGCCCCUGGACAAAGACUGACGCUCAGAUGCGAAAAGCGUGGGGAGCAAACAGGAUUAGAUACCCCUGGUAGACUGUCA